CGCGGCCUAUCAGCUUGUUGGAGAGGUAACGGCUCACCAAGGCAUCGACCGGUAGCUGGUCUGAGAGGAUGAUCAGCCACACUGGAACUGAGACACGGUCCAGACUCCUACGGGAGGCAGCAGUGGGGAAUCUUGCACAAUGGGCGCAAGCCUGAUGCAGCAACGCCGCGUGCGGGAAGAAGGCCCUAGGGUUGUAAACCGCUUUCAGUAGGGAAGAAAAUGACGGUACCUACAGAAGAAGGUGCGGCCAACUACGUCCCAGCACCCGCGGUGACACGUAGGCACCAAGCGUUAUCCGGAUUUAUUGGGCGCAAAGAGCUCGUAGGCGGUUUGGUAAGUCGGGUGUGAAAACUCUGGGCUCAACCCAGAGAGGCCACCCGAUACUGCUAUGACUAGAGUACGGUAGGGGAGCGGGGAAUUCAUGGUGUAGCGGUGAAAUGCGCAGAUAUCAUGAGGAACACCAGCGGCGAAGGCGCCGCUCUGGGCCGUAACUGACGCUGAGGAGCGAAAGCAUGGGUAGCAAACAGGAUUAGAUACCCUGGUAGUCCAUGCCGAAAACGUUGGGCACUAGGUGUGGGUCUCAACCAACGAGAUCCGCGCCGUCGCUAACGCAUUAAGUGCCCCGCCUGGGGAGUACGG
rnacentral:rRNA from 1 species